AACCUCCGCAAUGUGAGAAAUCGCGACGGGGGGAUCCCAAGUGCCAUUCUUAACGGGAUGGCUUUUCAUUAGUGUAAAGAGCUUUUGGAAUAAGAGCUGGGCAAGACCGGUGCCAGCCGCCGCGGUAACACCGGCAGCUCUAGUGGUAACAAUUUUUAUUGGGCCUAAAGCGUCCGUAGCCGGUUUAAUAAGUCUCUGGUGAAAUCCUGCAGCUUAACUGUGGGAAUUGCUGGAGAUACUAUUAGACUUGAGAUCGGGAGAGGUUAGAGGUACUCCCAGGGUAGAGGUGAAAUUCUGUAAUCCUGGGAGGACCGCCUGUUGCGAAGGCGUCUAACUGGAACGAUUCUGACGGUGAGGGACGAAAGUUAGGGGCGCGAACCGGAUUAGAUGCCCGGGUAGUCCUAACUGUAAACGAUGCGGACUUGGUGUUGGGGUGGCUUUGAGCUGCUCCAGUGUCGAAGGGAGCUGUUAAGUCCGCCGCCUGGGAAGUACGGUCGCAAGACUGAAACUUAAAGGAAUU
rnacentral:rRNA from 1 species